CCUACGGGUGGCUGCAGUGGGGAAUAUUGCACAAUGGGGGAAACCCUGAUGCAGCAACGCCGCGUGAGCGAUGAAGGCCUUCGGGUCGUAAAGCUCUGUCCUAAGGGAAGAAUACUGACGGUACCUUAGGAGGAAGCCCCGGCUAACUACGUGCCAGCAGCCGCGGUAAUACGUAGGGGGCUAGCGUUAUCCGUAAUUACUGGGCGUAAAGGGUGCGUAGGCGGCCCUUCAAGUCAGAGGUGAAAGGCUACGGCUCAACCGUAGUAAGCCUUUGAAACUGUAGGGCUUGAGUGCAGGAGAGGAGAGUGGAAUGCCCAGUGUUGCGGUGAAAUGCGUAGAUUUUGGGAGGAACUUCAGGUGCGAAGGCGUCUCUCUGGACUGUAACUGACGCUGAGUCACGAAAGCGUGGGUAGCAAAAAGGAUUAGAUACCCGAGUAGUC
rnacentral:rRNA from 1 species